rnacentral:tRNA from 1 species
GCCUGCUUAGCUCAAAGGUUAGAGCAUCGCAUUUGUAAUGUGAUAGCCAUCGAACUAGCAUUGCAUUUGUAAUGUGAUGGCCAUUGGUUCGAUUCCGAUAGCCGGCU